AAACACAAAAAUGUGUCUUGGUGUGUUUAAGGGUUAAAAAAAACUAGACUUUUCUUGACGUUUGCUGCUGGGAAAAACGAGUUUGAAGACAGAACCACAUGUCCCAUGAUGCCUCGCGGUCAAGCGAUGACCAAAUGGAACACAGCAGCAGCAACAGCAACAGCGAGGAGCCACUUUGACAGCUGAGCUUCAAGUUUGCUGAGGGCAGGUCUCUCUCCGGCGCCGCCGACAUUAACGACCUUGAACAGAGACACAAGUCAAACAAACAUGACGCACUCAGCACAGGGCAGAAGCCGGCCGGUGAAGCAGCAUUAGCAGCAGAGGUUGUUUUAUUAUUUGAUGGGGGAUACACUGACUUCACUACCUCUCCUACACACAGACCAUCGUAUGCUAAGAAAACACCUGCAGCAGCAGCACAUCGUAUUCUCAGCCGGCCAGAGUCUGAUGCCCUGGAAACGUUCUCCCUGAGCCACCAGGGGGCCUCAGUCCCACAGUGGCACACCAAGCUUUGCAUUUGUCUUCACCCUGAACCCUUCAGCCCCAG